rnacentral:rRNA from 1 species
GAUGAACGCCGGCGGCGUGCUUAACACAUGCAAGUCGAACGGACUCAUAUUGAAACCUAGUGAAGUAUGAGUUAGUGGCGGACGGGUGAGUAACGCGUGGAAAACCUGCCGUAUACUGGGGGAUAACACUUAGAAAUAGGUGCUAAUACCGCAUAAGCGCACAGCUUCGCAUGAAGCGGUGUGAAAAACUCUGGUGGUAUACGAUGGUUCCGCGUCUGAUUAGCUAGUUGGUGGGGUAAUGGCCUACCAAGGCAACGAUCAGUAGCCGGCCUGAGAGGGUGAACGGCCACAUUGGGACUGAGACACGGCCCAAACUCCUACGGGAGGCAGCAGUGGGGAAUAUUGCACAAUGGGGGAAACCCUGAUGCAGCGACGCCGCGUGAGUGAAGAAGUAUUUCGGUAUGUAAAGCUCUAUCAGCAGGGAAGAAAAUGACGGUACCUGAUUAAGAAGCCCCGGCUAACUACGUGCCAGCAGCCGCGGUAAUACGUAGGGGGCAAGCGUUAUCCGGAUUUACUGGGUGUAAAGGGAGCGUAGACGGCAGCACAAGUCUGGAGUGAAAUGCCGGGGCUUAACCCCGGAACUGCUUUGGAAACUGUGCAGCUAGAGUGCAGGAGAGGUAAGUGGAAUUCCUAGUGUAGCGGUGAAAUGCGUAGAUAUUAGGAGGAACACCAGUGGCGAAGGCGGCUUACUGGACUGUAACUGACGUUGAGGCUCGAAAGCGUGGGGAGCAAACAGGAUUAGAUACCCUGGUAGUCCACGCUGUAAACGAUGAUUACUAGGUGUUGGGGGACCAAGGUCCUUCG